CUUGCCUAUCAUGCUGUGGAAACGCAGGACUGUCUCCUUAAGACAAAAUAGCUGUACCACGUAGGUGACACCAAUUACCCCCAAUGCAGGCCCCGACGAGCAGGAGGAAAUUGCAAAGAGCUACAGCAAUAAGGAGGGGGAGCUGGGGUAGUGUGAGGUAUCUGACUUAAGGGAGAAGGGGUGAAGGAAAUAACUUUUGAACUCCAAAUACAAGUGAAAGCAGAGCAUUAGCUGCACAGGCAGUAAAGCUUGGUAGAGUAAAAUGCUGCCUGUGAUUGUAAGCCAGACCUGGAGGACAAAGGUGAAGCCUACAAUCAAGGUUUCUUAAUAAGACAGAUGUUCCUCAAAGGGAGAAGAAAAAUUCUUCACAGCUGCAGCAGCUGUUUCAAUCCCUCUUUGACAGAUCUUUAAUAUGACACUCUUGUCUCCCUGGAAGAGCCAGAUCCCACUAGCAUGGAGUAUUCAUCCUGUACCAGUUCCAGCUUGCCUCUCACAUUUAAAAAGAGCAAAUGCAGUACUUCGUAUAUGGCUUUUCCGUUAUGGACUGACAGAGUGGCUGAAUGGAUAGAUGGAUAGGUGCAUUAACGAGCUUUGCACGAGACCUGUAAUUUCAUGUGGCAAGGGGGUCACUAGGCUUCCAAGAUGCAAUAUGCGUGUUGUUGGUUUUUUUUCUUAUUUAUUUCUGUGGUAGUGGCUCUGAUUUGUUUUAUCCUGUCCCACUCCACCUUCCUGAGAAACAAGAUCUGUAUAUAGCUUUGUUCUUGCAAAUAGCUGUAGAUUGUGCAUGUAUGGAUUUAGUCCUAACAUGGGUAUCUACAGGGUUCUGAAUUCUGCACAACUCUUCUGAACGCUAUCUUAUCUUCCAAUUUCUAAGAAGUGGUAGUGGCUGAGCACCAGGAAUGCAUAUAACACUGUCUUGCAAAUUUCCUUGCCUCUUAACUUUAUUCUGAUACCAGUCUAAACAAAAUUGUUGUGAAACUCCAGUUGCUGAUUUCUGCAUUGGUAACAGCAGCAUAUUUUUAAGCUGUUUUAGGUAAUGGAACUAGAUGAAGGCUGAACUUUUAGGUAAAGGAUUUUAUCUCUUUGUAGCAAAACAGUAACCAGGCAUUUAGGUAUUAUCUCCCCAUGGACAAUGCAGAAAUGAACAAUUCUGCCUGUGCCACAAACUGGAAGUUCUUUGCUUUAAGUCUGUUACUUCGGGACAGUGAUUGUGGAAAUCUUUGUUUCAUGUUACUUUGGUCUUGUAUGCGAUCAUAAAUGUGAUCAGACAAUGGUUGUGUAGAAUUAGAAGAGUAAUUAAUUAGCAUGAAUUAUUAAGGGUUAAUGAUGCGUGUUAGAGCUGCAAUAUUCUUAUUUA